AUUAUUACCCUGCUCAAAUAUUGAUAAAAUUUCUUAUUUAACUCUCCCAGUCCAAGAGUAGUAGAAUGUCUAAAAUAAGAACAAAAGUUGUGUUUAGGUCUUUCUCAAGAUGGGCUUAGAUCAUGAUUAAGACACUUGCUUUACCAGUGGGUAUACCGCAUCAGCUAUGCUCUUGGCAUUGCAUCUGUUAAAUAAUUUAUCUCCAAAAGGAAACCAUCUCAAAUUUGUACUUGUAUUCCCUAUAAUUUUUCUAGACCUGUUUGUGGUGUUUUCCUAUAGGUCCCUGGCAUGGCUUAAUACGGCCUCAUUUAAGUGCAUACAGAUUGUUGUUGCAUUUUUG
rnacentral:misc_RNA from 1 species